GCUGGCGGCGUGCCUAAUACAUGCAAGUAGAACGCUGAGGUUUGGUGUUUACACUAGACUGAUGAGUUGCGAACGGGUGAGUAACGCGUAGGUAACCUGCCUCAUAGCGGGGGAUAACUAUUGGAAACGAUAGCUAAUACCGCAUAAGAGUAAUUAACACAUGUUAGUUAUUUAAAAGGAGCAAUUGCUUCACUGUGAGAUGGACCUGCGUUGUAUUAGCUAGUUGGUGAGGUAAAGGCUCACCAAGGCGACGAUACAUAGCCGACCUGAGAGGGUGAUCGGCCACACUGGGACUGAGACACGGCCCAGACUCCUACGGGAGGCAGCAGUAGGGAAUCUUCGGCAAUGGACGGAAGUCUGACCGAGCAACGCCGCGUGAGUGAAGAAGGUUUUCGGAUCGUAAAGCUCUGUUGUUAGAGAAGAACGUUGGUAGGAGUGGAAAAUCUACCAAGUGACGGUAACUAACCAGAAAGGGACGGC
rnacentral:rRNA from 1 species